rnacentral:rRNA from 1 species
UACGUAGGGGGCAAGCGUUGUCCGGAUUUAUUGGGCGUAAAGAGCGUGUAGGCGGCCAGGUAGGUCCGCUGUGAAAACUCGAGGCUCAACCUCGAGAUGUCGGCGGAAACCAUCUGGCUAGAGUCCGGAAGAGGAGAGUGGGAAUUCCUGGUGUAGCGGUGAAAUGCGCAGAUAUCAGGAAGAACACCCAGUGGCGAAAGCAGCUCUCUGGGGACGGUACUGACGCUGAGCACGCGAAAGCGUGGGGAGCGAACAGG